GUUGUAUCAGGGCAAACUCCGAGAAAUCGGAGGACGCAAAGCCACGGGUCCGAUCCGCCGCAUGGCGGAGGACAGCCGGGUUGCCAAC
rnacentral:ncRNA from 1 species